AAGCGAUUGAGUGGCUGGGAUUCUUUCACACCAAAGCUGUUCAUGUUUUAUCACCAAAAGGAAUCCAUUUGAUUACGAUAUUACUUGGAAAGUGGUAUCAGAGCCUCCCUUGGCUCGUUUUAAUGCAAAGGUAUCUCUUGUUAUUGUUAAUUUCAAUUCUGAUUGGAUGUGAGGGAUUUGGAAGAAAGCAAAACAAUAAGUGCAUGAGAUGCACAAAGAGUUUAGCAAGAAAAAGAUUCGAAUUCAUGGGAAACGAGAUGCGGUUUGGUGAUAGAAUUCGAUUCUGUCCAGAUUUGCAUGUGGUUUGAUUUUCAGUUUUUAAUAGGGGUCUAAAAGCCUCCAAAAAUUCUGAAAAAAUUUGGAAGUAAUCUAAAUUGAAAUUGUUUCAAUAUGAUUAAUUAUCAGCUGAAAAUGGUGAAGGAAAGGCUG